rnacentral:tRNA from 1 species
UCCCUGGAGGACUAGUGGUUAGGCCACAGCACUCUCACCACUGCGGCCCCGGGUUUGAUUCCCAGCCUGGGAA